rnacentral:RNase_P_RNA from 1 species
GUGUCUGCGAGAACUGAUCGCUGGAAACAGAGGAAAGUCCGUGCUGCCACUAUCUGAGAUGAUAGUAGUGAUCGUGCUGAGGCCAAUAACCUCAGGCAGAAAUGACAACGGUGAACGCCUAAGUCGUAAGAUAUGGAACUAGCCAUAAAGUGCCACAGAGACGAAUACUGUUAGAAAUGACAGGGUGAAAAGGGGUAAACUUCGCGAGGCAGAAACCCAAAUUUUGGUAGGGGAGCUUGAGUUUGAAAGAAAUGAAUUUCACUCAGGAUCAAGAAAUUGAUAGAUAAAUGUUUGUCGCCUAUUAUUAGGAACAGAACAUGGCUUAUAAAA